UACGUAGGGGUCUAGCGUUGUCCGGAAUUACUGGGCGUAAAGCGCACGUAGGCGGCUUUGCAAGUUAGAGGUGAAAGCCCGGGGCUCAACUCCGGAAUUGCCUUUAAAACUGCAUCGCUAGAAUUGUGGAGAGGUAAGUGGAAUUCCGAGUGUAGAGGUGAAAUUCGUAGAUAUUCGGAAGAACACCAGUGGCGAAGGCGACUUACUGGACACAUAUUGACGCUGAGGUGCGAAAGCGUGGGGAGCAAACAGG
rnacentral:rRNA from 1 species